AUGUUAACAGACCAGCAACGUGCUAGGAGGCCCAUGGGAGCAUUACCUGGUGUUGAAUGGCGGGCAAAUGACACAUCAUAUAUGUUUUUGUCCAACCAAGGUAACCCUCCAAACAGUGCCCUAAGAGUCAUUUAUUCCUUAAUGUUUUGGCCUAGAAACAAGUUUAGUUGCAACUCUUUUGCUAUCAAGUUUUCCAAAUUUCGUUCACUAGGGUUCCUUUCUUAUUAUCAUCUUCCAGAUAUAUAUUUUUGUAAUUACAUGAAUUCAGAUCUACUUCUAUCGUGUCUCCUUUUCACAUGUUUGCAUCCAGCUGAAUAUCCAUCUACAUGCAGGAUUUUGUCACAUGUGUAG
rnacentral:rRNA from 1 species